rnacentral:rRNA from 5 species
AAACCAACAGGGAUUGCCCUAGUAACGGCGAGUGAAGCGGCAACAGCUCAAAUUUGAAAUCUGGCCCUCGUGGUCCGAGUUGUAAUUUGUAGAGGAUGCUUUUGGCGAGGUGCCUUCUGAGUUCCCUGGAACGGGACGCCAGAGAGGGUGAGAGCCCCGUACGGUUGGACACCGAGCCUCUAUAUAGCUCCUUCGACGAGUCGAGUAGUUUGGGAAUGCUGCUCUAAAUGGGAGGUAAAUUUCUUCUAAAGCUAAAUACCGGCCAGAGACCGAUAGCGCACAAGUAGAGUGAUCGAAAGAUGAAAAGCACUUUGAAAAGAGGGUUAAAUAGCACGUGAAAUUGUUGAAAGGGAAGCGUUUGCGACCAGACUUUUUCCAGGCGGAUCAUCCGGCAUUUUUGCCGGUGCACUUCGCCUGGUCUAGGCCAGCAUCGGUUUCCUUAGGGGGAUAAAGGCUUGGGGAAUGUAGCUCCCUCGGGAGUGUUAUAGCCCCUUGCGUAAUACCCCUCGGGGGACCGAGGAUCGCGCUUUUGCAAGGAUGCUGGCGUAAUGGUCGUCAACGAC